UACAGAGGAGCCAAGCGUUGUCCGGAUUGACUGGGCGUAAAGCGCACGCAGGCGGACGCGCGCGUGGGGUGUGAAAUCUGGCCGCUUAACGGCCAGGGGCCAUCCCAUACGGCGGGUCCGGAGCGAUGCAGAGGUCGGUGGAAUUGCCGGUGUAGUGGUGAAAUGCGUAGAGAUCGGCAGGAACACCCAGGGGGAAACCAGCCGACUGGGCAUCUGCUGACGCUGAGGUGCGAGAGCGUGGGGAGCGAACCGG
rnacentral:rRNA from 1 species